GAGACAGCAGCAGCCACGGUAAUACGUAGGUGGCAAGCGUUGUCCGGAAUUGUUGGGCGUAAAGGGCUCGCAGGCGGUUUCUUAAGUCUGAUGUGAAAGCCCCCGGCUCAACCGGGGAGGGUCAUUGGAAACUGGGAAACUUGAGUGCAGAAGAGGAGAGUGGAAUUCCACGUGUAGCGGUGAAAUGCGUAGAGAUGCGGAGGAACACCAGUGGCGAAGGCGACUCUCUGGUCUGUAACUGACGCUGAGGAGCGAAAGCGUGGGGAGCGAACAGGAUUAGAUACCCGUGAGUCCCUGUCUCUUAUACA
rnacentral:rRNA from 1 species